UUAUCACGGGAGACACACGGCGGGUGCUAACGUCCGUCGUGAAGAGGGAAACAACCCAGACCGCCAGCUAAGGUCCCAAAGUCAUGGUUAAGUGGGAAACGAUGUGGGAAGGCCCAGACAGCCAGGAUGUUGGCUUAGAAGCAGCCAUCAUUUAAAGAAAGCGUAAUAGCUCACUGGUCGAGUCGGCCUGCGCGGAAGAUGUAACGGGGCUAAACCAUGCACCGAAGCUGCGGCAGCGAACGUAUCACUUAAAGCGAUUCAGCGGGUUACGAUUGACGGAGCGAAGCGACGUCAAAGCGUAUACAAAGUCGAGUCGGUUUAAGGAUACGUUCGUUGGGUAGGGGAGCGUUCUGUAAGCCUGUGAAGGUGGCCUGUGAGGGUUGCUGGAGGUAUCAGAAGUGCGAAUGCUGACAUAAGUAACGAUAAAGCGGGUGAAAAGCCCGCUCGCCGGAAGACCAAGGGUUCCUGUCC
rnacentral:rRNA from 1 species